rnacentral:lncRNA from 1 species
AGAGAAAUAUACGAAUCACGAAGUUAUAUAAUUUAAAAAAAAAACAUACAAAAUACUAAAUCACGCUCACGCGCUCUGCUCUGCAGCGAACCAUAUAUCCUCAGCAGAAUAAACGAACGCUUUAAGCGUCAAAGCCUUUCUAUACGGCGAGUGCAUCUGUAUACACCAGUAAAAUUAAGACACACAGAUGAAGCGGUGGACGGCGACUGUGGCGUCUGCCUGACUGAAUCCUCCAUGGUUAGCUUCGACGGCCAAAUUCCGGCGCUCGCAGUACACGUAGAAACAAUUCACGCAGUCUGAUUCUUCAGUUCGAGUAAAGUGAAUCAAAGCUUUUUACGCCUUGGAUUAGGCUUGGGUACUUCUGGUAUUGCUUCACCUUUAAUUUCCACUCAUUAUAUUUUAUGAAUUUCUAUUUUGUCGAAGUAUUUUAUGGAUUAUUACCGUUCAGGUUUCUUGGAUAAAUAAGUUAAAGCAACCAGGACACUAAACAAAAGAGCUUAUUAAUACUAGGAUGAUAUAGGAAUAAUGAACUCUACAGUCUUGAUUAUCAAGAUGCAGUGAAAGGGGGGGCCGGGUGGGGUUGAAUUAUUGCAGACUAAAUUUUAUACAGUGCAAGAAAGCAAAUUGCUAUAGUGGAGUGUCACUGUAUGCUACAUUGUGACACGUUAGAAAAUGGAGAGGAAUGGGAAGAUACCAUCUUUGUUUUAAUAACAAAAAGGAAUACAAUAAAUUUCACAUAGAAACAAAUAUGAACUGCCAUGCAUCUCACAUCCCAGUAGCUUUUGAUACUUGCUUCAAAGCUUCAGCGAUCUCACUGGCUGAUGAUUCACCACUCAAAUGUGCAAUCAAGCGACUCUCUUUAGGAACAAAGUCAUCUUUUAACUCCAUGGAUCUUAGCAAUUCUUCAGAUCCUUUUAUCACCACACCUUUCAUUAUUAUGGUCUUAUGAGCCCCAGCUACCAUUUGCUCAUAGUCAGUGUCUCCAGUUUCACCAAGAAUUACAUACAUGUUUGCAACAUUCAACCUCCAACGGACGAAAAGGUACCUAUUAAUCAGAAGCAAAUGGAAAUAGAAACAAAUCCUCAACUUAUUACAAUCAUUCUGUAGGACUCCUUAAGAUCUGGUGGUUAAGGGAUUUGGUUAAACAACAAGAAGCCAAUUAAUCAAUGAUCAAGAAUUAGUAUCAAAAAAGUUACAUGUUAAGUCAUGAAACUGCAUUCCAUAAUUUUAAAACGUUAUCACAUAACAGGCCAAUUUUUAAAAGCACCAUUUAUCUAAAAGUACCUCAGCGCCUGUGCUCGAGAUGCCAAGAGAGGAAUGAUUUGCAUCCUUGUUGAGCUCCUGCAGUACAUUGGAUGACAACGAAGACCCCGCAUCCUUAGUUUUUGCCUCAAAUCAUGCACUUUCAUAACCUGUAAAAGCACAUCAGAGUGAAAAUACAUGUAUAAAAACAACCCUUGUUAAAUUAACCUCAAGAAAAAUAUCUUCUUUUACCUUUUUGCGAUCCUUGAUCCAGUAUGCGACGCAAUGGGCAUUGCUUGAUUUUGAAUCUAACUCGAUGAGGCUGGAUGAUCCUUUAGAUUGUUCUGCACCUUCAGUUGUGUUUAUUAGCUUCCAGAUGGUUUUUUUAAGACCUUCACAACCCCAGCGGUAGUCUAUAUGUGAUGCAUAAUCUGGAUCCGGUAAAAGUUCUCCAUUCUCUUCAGUAUAAGUUCCAGGGUAAUACAAUUCACUACCACUGCUACAAAUCAAUGCAUCAAACUCAUUUACUUGAAUCUUUGCCGAUGCCAAGAAUUCUACUGUUUCUGACAAUGGCAUAGCUGUAGCUAAAGCAAUCCCUGAUGUUCUUGCAAAUAGUGAGUCUGACCUAACAGCUUUAAUUACAUAUUGCACAACUUGAAUCAUCUUAUUUUCAGGAGCCCCUUCAGCGCCAUAGCAGUCAAGAGCUAUUACAAUCAACCUUCGUCGCCUCCUCAACAUGGGAUACUUGCUCAUGCCAGUCUCAUUCUUUCCACCUUCAGCAUCUUUUGGGCCAGCCUCUGGUUUCUUGAUCUUCCUCAUUACCUGGUUUACUUGAGCUUGUAUCUCCGGGUCACCUGCAGCUGCUGCUGAAUAGUCGAGUGAUUCAUUUAAUGAAGAUUUAUCGCCAUCAAUUGAGAGCCUAAGAGACAUAUCUUGCACAUCCUUCA